rnacentral:miRNA from 1 species
CUCACAGCUCUGGUCCUUGGAG